rnacentral:rRNA from 1 species
GACGAACGCUGGCGGCGUGCUUAACACAUGCAAGUCGAACGGUAAGGCCCUUCUUUUGUGGGCAGUUCGAGUGGCGAAAGGAUGAGUAACACGUGAGUAACCUGCCCUUGACUUUGGGAUAAGUACAGGAAACUGGUGCUAAUACCGGACCGCAGCUCCUGCCGCAUGGUGGGGGUUGGAUAUUCUCGGCGGUUGGGGAUGGCCUCGCGGCUUAUCAGCUUGUUGGUGGGGUAGUGGCUUACCAAGGCCUUGACGGGUAGCCGGCCUGAGAGGGUGACCGGCCACAUUGGGACUGAGAUACGGCCCAGACUCCUACGGGAGGCAGCAGUGGGGAAUAUUGCACAAUGGGCGGAAGCCUGAUGCAGCAACGCCGCGUGCGGGAUGACGGCCUUCGGGUUGUAAACCGCUUUCGCCUGUGACGAAGCGUGAGUGACGGUAAUUGGUAAAGAAGCACCGGCUAACUACGUG